GGUACAAGCAAAAGCGGCCGGGAGGGGGAGCGCUGGCCCUAUCAGAGGGGCCAGGAAGCUCCAGGUCGUACUCCGCAGGGACCCCGUAUCGAGCCCUUAUCAGGAGAAGUUCAUCCGAAGUCGACGAACACGAAAUGGCGCCCGGUGCGAAAACCGGGCGAGGCCCUGCCCCGAGCGCGGGUUCAUCCGCAGAAAUGGGGGCCUGGGGGUUCGAAGCAAAAGAACUCCCAGAACUUACGGAAACAGAAGAUUCAGAAGACAUUUUUUCUCGGGGAAAAACCUAAAGGGCCCUAGAAAGGCAAAUCGAGAGGGGAACGAAACGCCAAAGGUCAACCCGGAGGAAGACACGAAGAAAAUGAAAAGACGAAAAAUCCCUAGGCGGUGAAAAGAAGGUGGGCACUAACCUAUCUUGCUCUGAGGACCCGGGGGGCGAGAGACGGAAGGCGCCUACGGCUCGAGAGGGCGUUCGCUAGAGCAGACUCUCGGGGAGAUGACAGACGCCAGCAAGAAAUCAGAAGCGGAGUGGGGUGUCGGAAGGGGGGAGGACGGGUUUAAAUAGACCCUGGGAUCCGGCGCCAU
rnacentral:lncRNA from 1 species